CAGCAGCCGCGGUAAUACGAAGGGUGCAAGCGUUACUCGGAAUUACUGGGCGUAAAGCGUGCGUAGGUGGUGGUUUAAGUCCGUUGUGAAAGCCCUGGGCUCAACCUGGGAAUUGCAGUGGAUACUGGGUCACUAGAGUGUGGUAGAGGAUAGUGGAAUUUCCGGUGUAGCAGUGAAAUGCGUAGAGAUCGGAAGGAACAUCUGUGGCGAAGGCGACUAUCUGGGCCAACACUGACACUGAGGCACGAAAGCGUGGGGAGCAAACAGGAUUAGAUACCCCAGUAGUCCCUGUCUCUUAUCA
rnacentral:rRNA from 1 species